rnacentral:rRNA from 1 species
GUGGGGAAUAUUGGACAAUGGGCGAAAGCCUGAUCCAGCCAUGCCGCGUGUGUGAAGAAGGUCUUCGGAUUGUAAAGCACUUUAAGUUGGGAGGAAGGGUAGUAACCUAAUACGUUGCUACUUUGACGUUACCGACAGAAUAAGCACCGGCUAACUUCGUGCCAGCAGCCGCGGUAAUACGAAGGGUGCAAGCGUUAAUCGGAAUUACUGGUCGUAAAGCGCGCGUAGGUGGUUCAGUAAGUUGGAAGUGAAAUCCCCGGGCUCAACCUGGGAACUGCUUUCAAAACUGCUGAGCUAGAGUACGGUAGAGGGUGGUUGAAUUUCCUGUGUAGCGGUGAAAUGCGUAGAUAUAGGAAGGAACACCAGUGGCGAAGGCGACCACCUGGACUGAUACUGACACUGAGGUGCGAAAGCGUGGGGAGCAAACAGGAUUAGAAACCCGGGUAGUCC